GGGAGAAUGCCAGGCAGAGGCUGACAGGGAAAGCUGGUCUAUUCCCUCACUCAGCAUUAAAAGCCUGUAAAAAAAUCUGUCGAAGUCUCCAAAAUUCUCUUUCAGCCUGCUGCCCCUGGAGUACGUGUGACUUCUGAGAUGUUAUGGGAAGACGUCGAGGACAAAGAAAGAAAAAGCAAUCCAGAUACGCAAUAUCAUGGCCACCUGGACUGUCCCGGAAACUCCACAGCUAUUAGAAUCGUUCUUCCCACCCCUACGUCUCCUGUACACUGCACGUAGCUGUUGGCACUUCCUCUGUGGCGUGUCCCUGGUUUGCACGUGGCCUCACCAAGCAGGGACUGUGCUUCAUUUUUCUUCACGGUCCCACAGUUUCAGGUACUUACAUUCCUGUGUGGGCCACCAGGACACCUGCUCUGGGCCCUCACAGCUGGGAAUCCAGGACAAAAACAGCUUGUAU